rnacentral:rRNA from 1 species
AGUGUGGGUUAGUCCAUACGAGCGCACCCUUAUUUCUAGUUGCCAGCGGUUCGGCCGGGGCACUCUAGAGAAACUGCCAGCGUAAGCUGUGAGGAAGGUGGGGACGACGUCAAAUCAUCACGGCCCUUACGUCCUGGGCCACACACGUGCUACAAUGGUGGGGACAACGAGUUGCCAACCCGCAAGGGUGAGCUAAUCUCUCAAACCCCAUCUCAGUUCGGAUCGGAGUCUGCAACUCGACUCCGUGAAGUUGGAAUCGCUAGUAAUCGCGCAUCAGCCAUGGCGCGGUGAAUACGUUCCCGGGCCUUGUACACACCGCCCGUCAAGCCAUGGAAUCUGGGGGCGCCUGAAGUCAGUAACCGCAAGGAGCUGCCUAGGGCGAAUCUGGUAACUAGGGCUAAGUCGUAACAAGGUAGCCGUACCGGAAGGUGCGGGUGGAUUAACUCCUUUUUAGAGAAAAACGACUCUC